UACGGAGGGUGCAAGCGUUAUCCGGAUUCACUGGGUUUAAAGGGUGCGUAGGUGGAGUGGUAAGUCAGUGGUGAAAUCUCCAAGCUUAACUUGGAACUGCCGUUGAUACUAUCAUUCUUGAAUAUCGUGGAGGUAAGCGGAAUAUGUCAUGUAGCGGUGAAAUGCUUAGAUAUGACAUAGAACACCGAUUGCGAAGGCAGCUUGCUACACGAUCAUUGACACUGAGGCACGAAAGCGUGGGGAUCAAACAGG
rnacentral:rRNA from 1 species